rnacentral:piRNA from 1 species
UAUUGUUCAGCCAUUGGAAAGAGUGAUGU